UACGUAGGGUGCAAGCGUUGUCCGGAAUUAUUGGGCGUAAAGAGCUCGUAGGCGGUUUGUCGCGUCUGCUGUGAAAACGCGAGGCCUCAACCUCGCGCCUGCAGUGGGUACGGGCAGACUAGAGUGCGGUAGGGGAGAUUGGAAUUCCUGGUGUAGCGGUGGAAUGCGCAGAUAUCAGGAGGAACACCGAUGGCGAAAGGCAGAUCUCUGGGCCGUAACUGACGCUGGAGGAGCGAAAGCGUGGGGAGCGAACAGG
rnacentral:rRNA from 1 species